UGAGUCAAUGUUCUGGGGAAGCUUAUGUGGAACAAAAAUGUCGUUGUGGUGAUUUUUGUGCAAGAUAACCCACCUCAGAUCUAAGGAAUGAGUAGAAAUCAACUGAGCCAAAAAAGGAGGGAGUGAGAAGGGAAGAGGAGGAAGGGCAUUGUCAUAGAAGGAACUUGGACUGCAGGCUCUGUGUGAGGAGAGUGAGGGACCGUAUGCCUUGAAAGCAGAGAACCAGCAUAGAAGUCAAGAGAGUGAUUGUGACAUCGACAGGGCCAGGCUAUGUAGGCUCUUAUGGACAGUGUUAAGAAUUUUGCCUUCAUUAUAAAAGAACUGGGCAGUCUUGAGGCACUUUAGGUGGAAGUGACCAUGUUUAUGUGUGUGGGACAUGGUGGUGAACUUGGGGAUAACCUGAUUCACAUUUUAAAGCCAGGCUUACUGCCCCCAUUGAGCUGAUCUGAUUUGCUCCUCAGGCCAUUUGGCUCAUCUCCUCUUGUUCACUUGGUACAUAAAAUGUCAGCUGAGCUAGUGUGGCCAAGGUAACAUUGAAAAUCUGUGUGGCAUGGUGAGCAUU
rnacentral:lncRNA from 1 species